rnacentral:tRNA from 1 species
GGUGGUCGUAGCUCAGCUGGUUAGAGCGCUGGAUUGUGGUUCCAGAGGUCGCCGGUUCGAACCCGGUCUUCCACCC